rnacentral:rRNA from 1 species
AGAGCGAACGCUGGCGGCAGGCCUAACACAUGCAAGUCGAGCGCCCGUAGCAAUACGGGAGCGGCAGACGGGAUAGUAACACGUGGGAACGCGCCCUUCGGUUCGGAAUAACUCAGGGAAACUUGAGCUAAUACCGGAUACGCCCUUACGGGGAAAGAUUUAUUGCCGAAGGAACGGCCCGCGUCCGAUUAGCUAGUUGGUGAGGUAAUGGCUCACCAAGGCGACGAUCGGUAGCUGGUCUGAGAGGAUGACCAGCAUCACUGGGACUGAGACACGGCCCAGACUCCUACGGGAGGCAGCAGUGGGGAAUAUGGACAAUGGGCGCAAGCCUGAUCCAGCCAUGCCGCGUGGAUGAUGAAGGCCUUAGGAUUGUAAAAUUCUUUCAGCGGGGACGAUAAUGACGGUACCGCAGAAGAACGCCCGGCUAACUCGUGCCAGCAGCCGC